UGGGGAAUUUUGCACAAUGGGGGAAACCCUGAUGCAGCGACGCCGCGUGAUUUAGAAGGCCUUCGGGUUGUAAAAAUCUUUUCUAUGGGAAGAAAAUGACAGUACCAUAGGAAUAAGGACCGGCUAAUUACGUGCCAGCAGCCGCGUUAAUACGUAAGGUCCGAGCGUUGUCCGGAAUCAUUGGGCGUAAAGGGUACGUAGGCGGGUAAGCAAGUUAGAAGUGAAAUCCUAUAGCUCAACUAUAGUAAGCUUUUAAAACUGCUCAUCUUGAGGUAUGGAAGGGAAAGUGGAAUUCCUAGUGUAGCGGUGAAAUGCGCAGAUAUUAGGAGGAAUACCGGUGGCGAAGGCGACUUUCUGGCCAUAACCUGACGCUGAGGUACGAAAGCGUGGGUAGCAAACAGG
rnacentral:rRNA from 1 species